rnacentral:rRNA from 1 species
UACGUAGGGCGCAAGCGUUGUUCGGAAUUAUUGGGCGUAAAGAGCUCGUAGGCGGCUUGUCACGUCGAUUGUGAAAGCCCGAGGCUUAACCUCGGGUCUGCAGUCGAUACGGGCUAGCUAGAGUGUGGUAGGGGAGAUCGGAAUUCCUGGUGUAGCGGUGAAAUGCGCAGAUAUCAGGAGGAAUACCGGUGGCGAAGGCGGAUCUCUGGGCCAAUACUGACGCUGAGGAGCGAAAGCGUGGGGAGCGAACAGG